rnacentral:RNase_P_RNA from 1 species
UGACCAGAUCAGGUGGUCGCGGGCACAAGCGCCGCGAGGCCGUGCCCGAGGAAAGUCCGAGCUCCGCAGGGCAGGGUGCUGGGUAACACCCAGUGGGGGCGACCCCAAGGAAAGUGCCACAGAAAACGUACCGCCCGUCCCUGACGGGCAAGGGUGCAACGGUGAGGUAAGAGCUCACCAGCGGUCCGGUGACGGGCCGGCUAGGCAAACCCCACCCGGAGCAAGACCAAAUAGGAGGGGAAUGACGCGGCCCGCCGACCCCUCGGGUUGGUCGCAUGAGGCCAUGGGGCAACCCUGGUCCCAGAGAGAUGACCAUCCUCGACUGAACUCGGCUUAUCGAUCUGGUCGCCAC